UACGUAGGGUGCGAGCGUUGUCCGGAAUUAUUGGGCGUAAAGAGCUUGUAGGCGGUUUGUUAAGUGCAGGGUGAAAGCUCCCGGCUCAACUGGGAGAGGUCCUUGCAUACUGCGAACUCGAGGGAGGCAGAGGAAAGUGGAAUUCCCGGUGUAGUGGUGAUAUGCGUAGAUAUCGGGAGGAACACCUGUGGCGAAGGCGGCUUUCUGGGCCUUACCUGACGCUGAGACGCGAAAGCGUGGGGAGCGAACCGG
rnacentral:rRNA from 1 species